CAAAAGCGCAGCAAAACGUUUAUUUCCUAUUUGCUUUCUCAAAAGAAAUUCUUUUCCAAACGAUGUUUUACGUUCUACUUAAAGUUUAUGAUAUACGUGCGCGGUCAAUUCUUGGGUGUGCUUUGUGGACUUUGUUUUUGUUGAUGUUCUGAUAUUUUAAUAGCAAUUUCGUUGGAGGUAGUUUCUUUUUAUACUUUGCGAAAACUUGCUUAUCAAUGGACCUUUCCCCUUAUAACUAAAAUUUCGAUCUAGACAAAAAUUUCAUCACAGCUUGAAAGAGCAUCACAAAAGUAGUAAUAUUCCAAAGUUUUGUUGCAGAAUCUUGUAAAAUGCGGAUAAUAUAGCCUUGCGAAGUUUGCCGUUUUUCAGUCAUUUUGUAUUACAAACGGGAAAUUGACAUCCGAUUCGGGUGUUGGGGCUGCAAUUUCCCGUUUGUAAUGCAAAAUGACUGAAAAUUGAAAACUUCGCAAGGCUCUAUUUUCCUCAUUUUACAACAUUUCGCAACGAAACUUUGGAAUAUUACUAAUUUUGUGAUGCUCUUUCAAGCUGUGAUGAAAUAUUUGUCUAGACUUGCCUAGAUCGAAAUUUUGGUUAUGAGGGGAAAGGUCUAUUUCAUCAGGCGGUU